rnacentral:tRNA from 1 species
GUUUUAAUAGUUUAAAUAUAAAACAAUGAUCUUGUAAAUCAUAAAUGAAUAUAUCUCUUAAAACU